UCUUGACCUCAAAUCGGGUGAGACUACCCGCUGAACUUAAGCAUAUCAUA
rnacentral:rRNA from 1 species